rnacentral:lncRNA from 1 species
AAUUUUAUUCCCCAACAAUUACAAGACUUGAAUCACUCCCCUUAUAAUGAGAGAGUAGUGGCCAAUAGAUAUCCGUCACAACAUCUAUAAAAGGAAGAUGAAGACCAUCCAAACCGCAACUUCAUCAUCUAACUAAUUACUCUCUCUCUCUUUUAAAAUAAGAAUCCAUGCGUUCACAUUAUAUGGAUAUGUCUAACUCUCUUUGCAUAAAUGAAAAUGAUUGCUCUCAGAGCAACAAAGAAGGCCAAGAAGAAGAAGAAGGUGGUGCUAAUAAUCUUGAUGAUGAUGAUGAUGAUAUGGGAAACAAAUCUAGAAACAACCAGCUGCAGGUACUAUUUAAUCUUUACUUUCAUAGUUGAGAAGCUAACGAAGCAUAUAUAACUCAAAGAGCAACUCGUUAAUAUUCUUUCUUUCUUGUUACUUUAUAUAAUUCGAUGCAACUCUCUGAACAUACACUUAGCUAGGCCGCGUUGGUAAAAAGCCAUGUCUAUCAUGAAAUAACAGUUAUAAUUAGGAAAUAAAUAUUGAUAAGUUUUUGUAAAUUUUUUAUCAAACCAACUGUAAGCAAGAUCAAACCACUCUUAACUUCUAAUUCGUGGUAAAAAUAAGUAUGGCUUUUAAACUACAGUUCUCCAACAACAGUACCCAACGGAGCUUUAGGCCUCAUCAAUCCUCUUCUCUUCCUUUCACAAUCGCAUACUAAUUCAUUUUUUUUUUUUAAUUUGAAGUAAAUAUUAAAUAUUACGUUGGUAUUCUAAUUAAUAAAUGUAUAAUUUUCUUUUUUCAGGCAAUAGGUGUUGGAAUUUAGUCCUGAAUGGAACACUCAUUUGAGCAAGAUAAACAAAGUAACUUGAGUGUAUAAAGAACAAGUUUCUCAUAAAAUUUUAGAACCUCGACCUCGGACCUUCGUUACUUUCUUAAUAAGUUGUCUUUACUUUUCUAUAUACACAAUUUUAUUAAACCUUACUUUAUUUAAAAGAAUUUUUUACAUGCCAUACAAUAAAUGCAAACUAAGUAAAUAUUAUAUGCGAUCUCAUACCCUUCACAAGCCUUGUAAAAUUGAAUGAAUGUAAAAGCAAUGUAAGCGAGAAAGAAAGGAGUUGUAUUGAUCACUGAAUUAAUGGUGCUUGCAGAAUUGAUUGAACGAUUGUUGUCUUUAACCGUUUGUAACGACUAGACUUGUAUCAGAUUAAUUUUUAAUUAAUAGUUUAUUACGAUUUACAAAUUGACAACCAUACCAUUAAUUGUGUUUGUUUGCUCUUUUUUCUUAAUUUAUCCUUUAGAAUCUCAACAGGUGCAUGCGUGCUCGACAAAUUAAUGCGCUCAUAAUCAUCAUCCCACUCAUCUAGCUAGGGCACAUUUAUAACUCAAUUACUUCUUAUUUUAAAAUUAUAUAAUGGCUAAUAAAAUUGGUUCAAAUAAUUCAACUCGUGUUAAAACUUUGUCAUGUACAACAUGCACGAGGAAAAAUAAUUAAUAAUAAUAAUAAAUUAGGUAUAAAGGUAUAUAGGUAAUUUUGUAACGUUUGUAAAAUCGGGAAUAAGACUCCGUUUGGUAUAAUUUUUUAAGUAUAAUCCAUUUAAAUAAAAUUUUUGACAGUAGAAUUUUUACAAAUAGAGAUUUUACUUUAAAAAAUUUAGUUGUUUGGUUGUCAAUAAGAUUUUUUAUUAAAAAUUUAUGAAAUUACUUUAAUAAAUAAGUUUUUUUAAGUUAUGUUAUGAAAAAAAUAAAAUAAGUUUGUCAAAUAAGUAGAGAAUAUUUUGGAUAUUUUAACAUUUUUAAAAAGCAUUCCAACUUCCACUCUCAAAAGUUUAAAAUUUGAGUUUUUGCUAGUAAAGGUAAAAUAGUUUAUUUAAAUUAUAAAAACUCUACUAAAAAAAAAUCAAAUAACAAUAAAAAUUAUAAUAAGAGCUUAUGAGAUUAAAUAAGCAUUUAUAACUAUUAGAUAAGGCAUACCAAACAAGCACUAAAUGUCUUAUUACAACUUGCCAAUUUUACAAGCAGUGUAUUGACACAAUUGUUGCUAAAGUAAAUGUAUAAAAAGUUGUUGAUUUUUUUGUAAGUUUUAUGUUCAAUUUAUUUUUUUAAAUUAUUAAAAUUUCUAACAAAGAAAGGUUAAGGAUGUAAUGAUAGGUUUUAUAUUGAUUUCUCUAUUAACAAUAUUUGGAGGGUAAAAACUUGUUUAGUCCCUAUAUUUUGAGGUCAGUGUCCGUUUAGUCCCUAUAUUUUUAAAAAUACUUCAAAAAAUCCAUACUAAUAAAUUAUUGACACCCUUGCCAUUACCUUUUGUUCCUUU